CGUACGGGGAAGGAUGAGAAGCUUCGACUAAGGUUCGAUUCGAGCGCAGCGAGAAAGCGUUGCCGCAGGCAACGACCCGAAGGGCGAAGCGCGCAGCGCUGAGUCAUCCUUCCCCCACCACCA
rnacentral:sRNA from 2 species